rnacentral:rRNA from 1 species
CAUUCAUCAGUUUACACCUUGACUGAGAGGUCUGGGUAAUCUUYGCAACAUGCAUCGUGCUGGGGAUAGAUUAUUGUAAUUAUUAAUCUUCAACGAGGAAUUCCUAGUAAACGCAAGUCAUCAACUUGCAUUGAUUACGU